AAGCUACUCUCUCCGUUCGGAAUUACUUGUCGUCGAAAUGGAUGUAUCUAGAUGUAUUUUAGUUCUAGAUACAUCCAUUUCCGAGACAAGUAAUUCCGAAUAGAGGGAGUAGUUG
rnacentral:pre_miRNA from 1 species